CUGCGGACGUCCUCAGAGUGACAGGAGGUGGGGAGGAAGGGCUAACUGUCUGCUUGGAGCCUGGGCAUUGAGGCAGGCCUGUGGGUCCAGAAGAAAGAGCCACUUCCUGCAGAGGGAGCAGCCUGGAUGGGAUUCAGACCCAUCCUAACCCGCCCAGCGCCAGGGUCCUACCUGGUACUCCUCCUCCUCUUCC